GGGCCCAUAGCUCAGUGGUUAGAGCUUCCGGCUCAUAACUGGCAGGUCGCUGGUUCGAUCCCAGCUGGGCCCA
rnacentral:tRNA from 1 species